rnacentral:rRNA from 1 species
GUGGUUAAGCUACUAAGGGCACGUGGUGGAUGCCUUGGCGCCAGGAGGCGAGGAAGGGCGUGGCUACCUGCGAUAAGCCCCGGGGAGCCGGUAGCGGGCUGUGAUCCGGGGAUUCCCGAAUGGGGAAACCCACCAGGGGUAAUGCCCUGGUAUCGCCCUUUUUGGGCGAGGCGACACGGGGGGAAGUGAAACAUCUCAGUACCCCCAGGAAGAGAAAGCAACACGGCCCGAAAGGGCCGCGCCUCCGUUAAAGGACGGAGGUGGCGAUUCCCCGAGUAGCGGCGAGCGAAAGGGGAACAGCCCAAACCGCAUGGGUGUCAAGCCUGCGGGCGUUGCUCAUGCGGGGUUGUGGGGCCUCACUGGGCGGGGCCGCAGACCCGCCGGGAAGUUACAAAUCCAUCCCCUAGCCGAACAAGGUUGGAAAACCUGGCCAUAGAGGGUGAUAGCCCCGUAGGCGAAAGGGGAAUGGACUUCCUGAGUGAGGUACCCAAGUACCCCGGGACACGUGGAACCCUGGGGGAAUCCGGGAGGACCACCUCCCAAGGCUAAAUACUACCUGGCGACCGAUAGCGUACCAGUACCGUGAGGGAAAGGUGAAAAGAACCCCGGGAGGGGAGUGAAAUAGAACCUGAAACCGCGUGCCUACAAGCAGUCGGAGCCCUAUGCAGGUCUUCGAGGCCUGCACGUGGGUGACGGCGUACCUUUUGCAGAAUGAGCCGGGGAGUUACUGUCGGUGGCGAGGUUAAGCCGUAUAAGAGGCGAAGCCGUAGCGAAAGCGAGUCCGAACAGGGCGUUAAGUCGCCGGCAGUAGACCCGAAGCCGGGUGAUCUAUCCAUGCCCAGGGUGAAGGUGGGGUGAUACCCACUGGAGGCCCGAACGGGUUGGCGUUGAAAAGCCAUCCGAUGAGGUGUGGAUAGGGGUGAAAGGCCAAUCAAACCCGGUGAUAGCUGGUUCUCCCCGAAAUAUAUUGAGGUAUAGCCUCACGGAUGCUUACCGGAGGUAGAGCACUGGAUGGGCUAGGGCCCCGAAAGGGGUACCAAACCCAACCAAACUCCGAAUGCCGGUAAGUUCAACCGUGGGAGUCAGGCUGCGGGGGAUAAGCUCCGUAGCCGAGAGGGGAACAACCCAGACCGCCAGCUAAGGCCCCUAAAGCGCCCUAAGUGGGGAAGGAUGUGGGGGUGCUAAGACAGCCAGGAGGUAGGCUUAGAAGCAGCCACCCUUUAAAGAAAGCGUAACAGCUCACUGGUCGAGCGCCUCUGCGCCGAAAAUUUAGCGGGGCUCAAGGGCGCUGCCGAAGCUGCGGGUUCGGGAAAGGCGUCGGUCUUUCCCGAGCGGUAGGGGAGCGUUCCAGUUGCCUGUGAAGCCGGACCGUGAGGACCGGUGGAGGUGCUGGAAGUGAGUAUCCCGGCAUGAGUAGCGAUAAGGAGGGUGAGAAACCCUCCCGCCGUAAGCCUAAGGUUUCCCGGGCAAGGCUAAUCCGCCCGGGGUUAGCCGGCCCCUAAGCCGAGGCCGAAAGGCGUAGGUGAUGGGAAGCGGGUUAAUAUUCCCGCGCCAGCAGACGGCGUUUGAGCGAUGGGGGGACGCAGGAGGGUAGGCCAUCCGGGUGUUGGUCGUCCCGGUUCAAGCCGGUAGGGGGAGGUCCUAGGCAAAUCCGGGACCUCGUUAACCCCGAGAGGUGAGGACGAGCCCCGUAAGGGGCGAAGUGGCUGAUCCCACACUGCCAAGAAAAGCCUCUAGCGAGCCGUUCUGCUGACCGUACCGCAAACCGACACAGGUAGGCGGGGAGAGAAUCCUCAGGCGCUCGGGUGAACUCGGGUUAAGGAACUCGGCAAAUUGGCACCGUAACUUCGGGAGAAGGUGUGCCCUCAGUAGGUGUAGGGGUUUACCUCCGAAGCCGAGGAGGGUCGCAGCGAAGAGGCCCUGGCGACUGUUUACUAAAAACACAAGUCUCUGCGAAGUCGUAAGACGACGUAUAGGGACUGACGCCUGCCCGGUGCCGGAAGGUUAAGGGGAGGGGUAAAGCCCUUCGAUGAGGGGGUGUAGCUCUGAACCGAAGCCCCGGUAAACGGCGGCCGUAACUAUAACGGUCCUAAGGUAGCGAAAUUCCUUGUCGGGUAAGUUCCGACCUGCAUGAAAGGCGUAACGACUGGGGCGCUGUCUCAACCCGAGGCCCGGCGAAAUUGGAGUCGGGGUGAAGAUACCCCGUACCCGCGGUCAGACGGAAAGACCCCGUGCACCUUAACUACAGCCUGGCAUUGAAUCCUGGGGCAGCCUGUGCAGGAUAGGUGGGAGGCUGAGAAGCGGGGGCGCCAGCUCCCGUGGAGCCGUCGGUGAGAUACCACCCUGGUUGUCUUGGGGUUCUAACCUGCGGGGGUUAUCCUCCCGAGGGACAGUGCCUGGUGGGUAGUUUGACUGGGGCGGUCGCCUCCUAAAGGGUAACGGAGGCGCGCAAAGGUCCCCUCAGGCGGAUUGGAAACCCGCCGUGGAGUGCAAGGGCAGAAGGGGGCUUGACUGCGAGGCCGACGGGCCGAGCAGGCGCGAAAGCGGGCCCUAGUGAUCCGGCGGUCCCGUGUGGAAGGGCCGUCGCUCAUCGGAUAAAAGGUACGCCGGGGAUAACAGGCUAAUCCCGCCCAAGAGUUCACAUCGACGGCGGGGUUUGGUACCUCGAUGUCGGCUCAUCCCAUCCUGGGGCUGGAGAAGGUCCCAAGGGUCGGGCUGUUCGCCCGUUAAAGGGGUACGUGAGCUGGGUUUAGAACGUCGCGAGACAGUUCGGUCCCUAUCUGCCGCGGGCGCAGGAGAUCUGAGGGGAGCUGUCCCUAGUACGAGAGGACCGGGACGGACGCACCUCUGGUGUACCGGUUGUCCCGCCAGGGGCACAGCCGGGUAGCCAACGUGCGGAAGGGAUAACCGCUGAAAGCAUCUAAGCGGGAAGCCCCCCCCAAGAUAAGAUCUCCCUCCUUGUCCCGUAAGGGACGAGGGUAAGGCCCCGGGGAGAUUACCCGGUUGAUAGGCCGGAGGUGGAAGCUCAGCAAUGGGUGAAGCCGACCGGUACUAAUAGGCCGAGAGGCUUAACCAUU